AUUUCCAUCUCUUUCCCUGGUGUUGACAAAUAGAUUGCUGUUGGUUUCUUCUUUGUUCCUUGCUCCUCUCAAGUCAGAAGAAAGACCCGUUUGUGUGUAUCUCUGCUGUGUGGCCAUGCCAAGUCUGCUUAACAUCUCUGAGCCUCAAUUUUCCUCGAUUCUAGGGUUGAACACGGACUUGUAACACUGAUAUGUGAAGGACUCAAACAGAAGGUGGAGGGAUUACUGUGGACAGAGCACUUGGCGACAGCAGUCUAUAUUCUACAAGGCUCAGUUUCAGGAGCCCAGUUCCUGGAGUGAGAGCAGCUGGCGCAGUGCCAGCCAGGCAGGUGGCAAGCCAGCAGCCAAGCAUUGUUUUAUUAACGGCUCAGGGCAGAUGGUCAGCGCCAUUCCUGGAACUGGAGACCAGUGAGCAGAAUACAAUCUAAUUGUCAGCCUCGACAUCACAGACACACAGAUGACUAGUGAUCAUGGACAUCUUGCUAUGAUAUUGAUAGAUAAAAGCCACAUAAACAAACACUCUGGAGUCUUCAGUAACUUAUUUCAGAACAUAAGGGGUCCUGCAAGCAACAAGUUUGAGAACUACUACUGUAUGUGAAAACUCAUACAGGUAAGAAACCCUAUGAACAUAAAGUAUUGAUAAAGUAUCUAAAGUCUCUAAAGAAUGCUCCUCCCUUAUUCAACAUGUGAGUUCAUACAAGUUAAAAAAAAAACCUAUGAAUAUGAAGAAACGGGGGGAAUCUUUAGCAAUACGGCAUUGUUAGUAACCAGCAAAGAUUAGUGGAGGAACUCUGCAAAUGUGGUCAAUAACAUUCAUAUGAGAGAGAGAUCUUGUUUCUAUAAAAGUAAUCCAUGCAGAAAAAGUCACUCUAUAGAAUAACA